UCCCUGGUGGUCCAGUGGCUAAGAUUCUAUGCUCCCAAUGCAGGGGGCCCGGGUUUGAUCCCUGGUUAGGGAA
rfam:Ovis aries breed Texel chromosome 2, whole genome shotgun sequence.